UACGUAGGGGGCUAGCGUUGUCCGGAAUCAUUGGGCGUAAAGAGCGCGUAGGCGGCUAGAUAAGUCCGGUGUGAAAGUCACAGGCUCAACCUGUGAAUGCCGCUGGAAACUGUCUGGCUAGAGUCCGGAAGGGGCGAGUGGAAUUCCUGGUGUAGCGGUGAAAUGCGCAGAUAUCAGGAAGAACACCCCGUGGCGAAGGCGGCUCUCUGGUACGUGACUGACGCUGAGACGCGAAAGCGUGGGGAGCAAACAGG
rnacentral:rRNA from 1 species